rnacentral:misc_RNA from 1 species
AGCAGCCGCGGUAAUUCCAGCUCCAAUAGCGUAUAUUAAAGUUGUUGCAGUUAAAAAGCUCGUAGUUGAAUUUCGGGAUCAAAGAAUCGGUCAUGCCUUGGUAUGUACUGGUUUUAUUGGUUCUCACCUUCUAAAGAACCAUGAUGUCAUUCAUUUGAUGUUAUGGGGAAUUAGGACUGUUACCUUGAAAAAAUUUAGAGUGUUUAAAGCAAGCUUACGCUUGAAUACAUUAGCAUGGAAUAAUGAAAUAGGACAUCAGAUUCUAUUUUGUUGGUUUCUAGGAUCGAUGUAAUGAUUAAUAGGGAUAGUUGGGGGCAUUAGUAUUCAAUUGUCAGAGGUGAAAUUCUUGGAUUUAUUGAAGACUAACUACUGCGAAAAGCAUUUGCCAAGGAUGUUUUCAUUAAUCAAGAACGAAAGUUAGGGGAUCGAAGACGAUCAGAUACCGUCGUAGUCUUAACCAUAAACUAUGCCGACUAGGGAUCGGAUGAUGUUAAUUUUUUAAUGACUCAUUCGGCACCUU